AUUGAACGCUGGCGGCAGGCCUAACACAUGCAAGUCGAGCGGGGUCUUCGGACCUAGCGGCGGACGGGUGAGUAAUGCGUAGGAAGCUACCCGAUAGAGGGGGAUACCAGUUGGAAACGACUGUUAAUACCGCAUAAUGUCUACGGACCAAAGUGUGGGACCUUCGGGCCACAUGCUAUCGGAUGCGCCUACGUGGGAUUAGCUAGUUGGUGGGGUAAUGGCUCACCAAGGCGACGAUCCCUAGCUGGUUUGAGAGGAUGAUCAGCCACACUGGAACUGAGACACGGUCCAGACGCCUACGGGAGGCAGCAGUGGGGAAUAUUGGACAAUGGGCGCAAGCCUGAUCCAGCCAUGCCGCGUGUGUGAAGAAGGCCUUCGGGUUGUAAAGCACUUUCAGUAGGGAGGAAGGGUGUUGUGUUAAUAGCACAGCAUUUUGACGUUACCUACAGAAGAAGCACCGGCUAACUCUGUGCCAGCCGCCGCCGUAACAC
rnacentral:rRNA from 1 species